rnacentral:lncRNA from 1 species
CGAAGGGUACGCGCCCGUCGCCGGUCAACCGGCGCGCGAGAGUGUCCCCGCUGGAAGCACACGGAGCGACUCGUCGACGCGCUCAGACGCAUCCCCCGACGCGCCCGCGCCGCGCGCGCGCAUUCGCCCGCGCGAGCCGUUAACUUUUGGCAUCCACCCCGUGCAGACUCGGCGCACGUGGCCCUAAUCGCAUCCGUCGCGCGAGUCGAGGCGAGCGCGGGAG